UGGGGAAUCUUAGACAAUGGGCGCAAGCCUGAUCGAGCCAUGCCGCGUGAUCGAUGAAGGCCUUAGGGUUGUAAAGAUCUUUCAGUGGGGAAGAUAAUGACGGUACCCACAGAAGAAGCCCCGGCUAACUCCGUGCCAGCAGCCGCGGUAAUACGGAGGGGGCAAGCGUUAUUCGGAAUUACUGGGCGUAAAGCGCACGUAGGCGGACUAACAAGUCAGAGGUGAAGUCCCAGGGCUCAACCUUGGGAG
rnacentral:rRNA from 1 species